rnacentral:misc_RNA from 1 species
GAUGAAGAACGUAGCAAAAUGCGAUACUUGGUGUGAAUUGCAGAAUCCCGUGAACCAUCGAGUUUUUGAACGCAAGUUGCGCCCGAAGCCUUUUGGCCGAGGGCACGUCUGCCUGGGCGUCACGCAUCGCGUCGCCCCCCACAAUUCUCCGUAAAGGGAACGUGUGUUUUGGGGGCGGAUAUUGGUCUCCCGUGCUCAUGGCGUGGUUGGCCGAAAUAGGAGUCCUUUCGAUGGACGCACGAACUAGUGGUGGUCGUAAAAACCCUCGUCUUUUGUUUCGUGCUGUUGCUCGCAAGGUAAACUCUUUAAAAACCCCAAUGUGUCGUCUCUUGACGACGCUUCGACCGCGACCCCAGGUCAGGCGGGACUACCCGCUGAGUUUAAGCAUAUCAAAAGCGGAGGA